rnacentral:tRNA from 1 species
UCCGCCGUAGCUCAGUGGAUAGAGCGUCGGUUUCCUAAGCCGCGGGUCGCAGGUUCGACUCCUGCCGGCGGAGCCA